rnacentral:rRNA from 1 species
CCGGCGCACGGGUGAGUAACGCGUAUCCAACCUGCCUUACACUCUUGGACAGCCUUCUGAAAGGGAGAUUAAUACAAGAUGUUAUCAUGAGUAAGCAUUUUCACAUGAUUAAAGGUUUACCGGUGUAAGAUGGGGAUGCGUUCCAUUAGAUAGUAGGCGGGGUAACGGCCCACCUAGUCUUCGAUGGAUAGGGGUUCUGAGAGGAAGGUCCCCCACAUUGGAACUGAGACACGGUCCAA